rnacentral:rRNA from 1 species
AGAGUUUGAUUAUGGCUCAGGAUGAACGCUAGCUACAGGCUUAACACAUGCAAGUCGAGGGGCGGCAUGAAGUUGCUGCAAACUUGAUGGCGACCGGCGCACGGGUGAGUAACGCGUAUCCAACCUUCCCUAUAGUAGAGGAUAGCCCGGCGAAAGUCGGAUUAAUACUCUAUGUUUUCCAAUGCAGACAUCUAAAAUGGAACAAAGGUUUACCGCUAUAGGAUGGGGAUGCGUCUGAUUAGGUAGUCGGCGGGGUAGCGGCCCACCGAGCCAUCGAUCAGUAGGGGUUCUGAGAGGAAGGUCCCCCACAUUGGAACUGAGACACGGUCCAAACUCCUACGGGAGGCAGCAGUGAGGAAUAUUGGUCAAUGGGCGAGAGCCUGAACCAGCCAAGUAGCGUGCAGGAUGACGGCCCUAUGGGUUGUAAACUGCUUUUAUGCGGGGAUAAAGUGGGGAACGUGUUCCCUUUUGUAGGUACCGCAUGAAUAAGGACCGGCUAAUUCCGUGCCAGCCGCAGC